rnacentral:RNase_P_RNA from 1 species
ACGGAUGGCCGGAUGACCGCGGGGGGCGCGCAAGCGUCGUGCCGAGGAAAGUCCGGACUCCAUGAAGCAAGGGCGCCGGGUAACUCCCGGCCGGGGUAACCCGAGGGAAAGCGCAACAGAGAAGAGACAGCCGCGCCGCCGGCCUCGGUCGGAGACCGGUGCGGUGAUGGUGAAACGGUGGGGUAAGAGCCCACCGCGGUCCUGGCAACAGGAAUGGCAUGGCAAGCCCCGCCCGGAGCAAUGCCGAAUAGGGGCCUCGCGCGGGGCAGGUCGGGUCCGCCCGAUACCGCCGCAGGGAUGCUUCAGCCCGAGAGGCCCGGGUUGGCAGCUGGAUCCCGUCCGUAAGGGCGGGGGCAGAGGAAUGGUCAUCCAGGGCAGGCAACUGCCUGGACAGAAUCCGGCUUACAGGCCAUCCGUGCAA